GGGGCUAGAGCUCAGAGGUUAAGAGCACUGGCUGCUUAUCCAGAGGUUCUGAGUUCAAUUCCCAGUACCCA
rfam:Mesocricetus auratus contig221941, whole genome shotgun sequence.